rnacentral:misc_RNA from 1 species
GCAUUUGUUCGUAUAACUCCGCAAUUGGCAGUGUCUGCCCCGGCACCAUUUAUUCGGGAGGCGAUCCGUGCUGCUUUCCCGCUCAUCACCUUCGAGGUUCUCCCCUCGUCGUUCGGAUCGUUGCUGGUGCGCUUUCAGUCGGCAGGUGAUUGUACUGCUGCUGUGAGUCGCUCCCCCCUAUUGCAUGAGGAUGUGGCGAUCUUCUUCGAGCGCCACGACGGGAGGAGUGUCAAACAGCCGGUUGAUGUGCUUGCGGUCUUGUCUGUUCAUGGGUUCCCUCUGACCUUCUGGCACGAGGAGUUCAUCCGCCAGGCGUUCCAAGUAUUUUGCUCAGUCGUGGAAGUCGACUGGCGUUGCACCUCGGGCCUCGACUACUCGUCUGUUCGGGUUGUGGUCCGCGUGGAGGAAGUGACAAGCAUUCCAGCAGACCUUUGCAUUCAUGAUUCUUCAUCUGGGGAUUCCUUCGUUUGUCAGGUGAAGCUGGUUGAUUCGUGGCCGCUGCCGGUGGAUUACGGCCAGCAUGGCACGCUCCGCCCCUACUUCGGAUGGCCUCCCCAUCCUGUGCUGCCGCCACCUGCCCCCACGCCCCACCGCACAACGCCCCUGCAGCCCCUCCGCCACCACCUAUCUCGCAACCUUGCCCGCCAGCUCACAGUCGUCCCCCUCGCCACCCUACAGCCCGAUCAGUCGCUUGUGACGUGCCUCGCCCGCACACUACUGGCUCUGGUCCUUAACCAGCCCCACCGCCUUCUGCUCCCCUGCCUACCAUCCUUCCCCAUCAUAAUCCACAAAAAUAUCCUCCCCCUGCAUCCUGCACCCGCCUUCUCAGCUCCAUUCCCUCCCUUUCCCCUCACAUCAUGCUCGACUGUUGCGCCUGCGAUCGCUGACGUUGAAGUGCUCUCCCCCUCCCCCCUCCCCCCCCUCCUCCCUGCAACCUGACCCAGACCAUGAAUCUUCAGCAAGAAAAUCUCGCGCACGCACCAAACGUACUGCUGACCUCGCAGCCAAAAACAAGAAAAUAGCUCCAGCUUCACGCCACAGUGUCCGUCUGCGGGAUAAGGAACCCGCGAACUACGUGGACAUGUCCUCUAAGGCGACCAAUCUGAAAGCUCUGAAGAACGAGCUGGCAAACUGCUCCAAUAAUCUCAAGGCAAAGGUCAAGCGCCAUGGUCUGCUGCGCAAAUGCACUCUGAAUGCUGCUGACCUGAGGGCGCUCGCUGGCACCAUAGCGUUGCCGGCUCUGGCUACUGCUGAACUGGAGCAGGCGCUGGAAAGUUCCACAUGUUAGAAUUCAACUUCUGUGCUAUGGUGAGGCUAGGCUCACAUCCUCCUAGCAAGUUAUCCCCCUGUAUUUCCUAUUAUGUUUGUUUCUCCUCAGACUUAAUGUAUGUCGCUCUUUUACCUCCAGUUGCUCUUCACAUUCCUCUUGUUAUCUGGAUGUUCUGCUGGUGUUAAUCAUGAGUUCAAAUCGUCUUAUAACUGUCAUCUCCUGGAAUACUCGUGGCCUCGGUGAGGACAAUAAGUGUGUCGACG